GGGCCCGUGGUCUAGUGGCUACGUCUAUAGAGGCGCUACAUAUGACAUCCGCUUGACUUGCGGAGGAUCGUGAGUUCAAGUCUCACCGGGCCCA
rnacentral:tRNA from 1 species